UAUAAGUUUUGGCAGGAAAAACGUGCAGUU
rnacentral:piRNA from 1 species